rnacentral:rRNA from 1 species
CAGUCGCCGCGGGAAUACGGAGGGUGCGAGCGUUAAUCGGAAUAACUGGGCGUAAAGGGCACGCAGGCGGUGACUUAAGUGAGGUGUGAAAGCCCCGGGCUUAACCUGGGAAUUGCAUUUCAUACUGGGUCGCUAGAGUACUUUAGGGAGGGGUAGAAUUCCACGUGUAGCGGUGAAAUGCGUAGAGAUGUGGAGGAAUACCGAAGGCGAAGGCAGCCCCUUGGGAAUGUACUGACGCUCAUGUGCGAAAGCGUGGGGAGCGAACAGGAUUAGAGACCCGUGUAGUCCCUGUCUCUUAUAC